rnacentral:lncRNA from 1 species
UUGAAAUAUAUGAUUGGUUAUAUUAGCAAAUGGAAUAGCCAAAUGAAAUUUAUGAGCAUAUUCUUAAGCAUAGAUAAGAAAAGUUUAAGGUUAUAAUUGAUAUUUCUGCAAAAAAGUAAAUUGUUUAAUGAAUAUUUGUUUGUAUUUUAUGAAAAUUUAGCAAAAAUAGAGUUUGCAUCUACGUAUCUCUGAAACUACAAGUCAGAGACCUACUGCAUAUAAAUCAUUCACCAUAGAACAAAUUCUGUAUUUUGUGAAUCAAAGAAAUUCUCCUUCCACUAUAAUGAAGCUUAUAAUAACCUUCCUAUACAUUAUCUUUCAUAUACAAAUGUAUAGAAGGGUUCCCAAAAAGAUUUCAAAGAAUCUGUUGAAUUUUAACUUCAGACCUGCAGAUUUUCAGAAUUUUCUGCCACCAUAUAAUGGCAGUAUAGAAAAUAAAUUUCUUUGUUUCAUUUCUUAUGUCUUAUUUAAAAUGCCUUUACAUGAAGGUAGUGCUUUCCAAAGUCUGUCCAUUGUGCUACCCUAAGGGUAUCCAAAUUCUAUGAAACCCUAUCACAAAAAUUAAAGUUAUAAUAUAAUUAUAAAAUUUAUAUAUCUUUUAGAAGAGGAAUGAAACAACACAUAUUUACAUUUACAAACAAAUUUUUAUUAAAAAGAUUUUUCAAAUGAAGUGGCUCAUACUAAUCUUACAUGCUAUAAAAAUAAUUGUAAAAAAAAUAUUUU